AUGGCGGAUCCGGACGCCGACGAGAACCCGGACUUGUGGGAGCUCUUCUGCCACUACGACCGGCUCUACUUCCGCGGCGAGCUCGACGCCGCCGCCUUCGCCGUCGAGUGGGCCUACCCGCGCACGAGGACCACCACUUGCUUCGGGUCCUGUUCCUUUGGAGACCUGAGCAAAAUAAUACUCUAUGAGCCAAUGCUGCGAUGGCGCACAAAUGCUGAUAUGAAGAACGCCCUGCUGCAUCUGAUGAUUCAUGCAAUCAUAUUUGUAAAGCAUGGUAUGAAGAACCUCGGCCAUGGUCCUGUUUUCCGUGAUUGGAUGGAUGCUAUCAACACUUGCACCGCUGAGGAUCACAUGAGACCGACAGGUGGCUACCGUAUCACCACUACCCAUGAUUUCAGUGAGGAAAAAUCCUGCAACAUCCAGGGGAUUCCGUGGCAGUGUGAAUGGUGUGGCGUUACACUUCUGAGGGCAACGAAUUUGGGACCUCCAUCUGAUUCCUGCUGUAUCGAGAAUGUUAGCGAAGAUGCAACCUGUGGCAACAUGCUUUGCCAGUGGCACAACCACAAGAUGGAUUGUGGUGGUACAUAUGUGGUAACCAAACCACGAGGGCAAAGGAUGGUUCGAAAAGGUGGAGAGUUGCUUCUUCGGACUGGAACAACUGAAAUGACCAAGUCACAAGGAGCUGUACAACAAUCAGAUUCAGAUGAAGUGCAGAAAGCAAUUGUUUUGUCUGCAGCCCCUCGGAGUCGGAGAAGAUUGAAGCCGAAGCAAGAGUUUGUUGCAUGGGAGAAUAUUGAACUUUUGUCUAUGGGGAGUCGCAGUAAUGCAAAAUCAGUGGGUAGUAGCUCCUCAAAGAAGGCAGAGGAUGUCCUUUCGAGCCAACUGAAACGGAAGCAAACAGCUGUUACAGCAGAGAAGCAUGGGUUUCUUUCAUUAGGGAGUUGCGACAAUGCAAUAUCGUCAGGAAGUAACGCCUCCAGGAAGACGGGAAAGUUGCAUGAGCCAGACGAUGUUAAGCCUUAUGCAUCCCAGAAAAAAUUGAAGUUAGUGCAGGACUUGGCCGCAUCGGAGAAAUAUGGAGCUUUCUCUCUAGGGACUUGCAACAGUGCAAAACCACCACGAAGCAGCACGUCCAGGAAUGCAGAGAAGUGGUGCAAAUCCGAGGGUGUUGAGAAAUCCACUGUCCUGCGGCCUCCUGCGCCCCCUCAGAAAAUGAAGCUUGAGCAAGACUCCGUUACAUUCCAGAAACAUGGGGUUGCAAAACCAUCAAAAAGUAUCACCCCAGACAGAGUUGGCAAGCUGCAUAAGCCGGAUGUUGUUGAGAACUCCGGUGUCCCGCCUUCCACGCCCCUAAAAAAACUGAAGCUAGAGAAGGACCCGGUUGCAUCUGAGAAACAUGGGGUGGCAACAUCAAGAAGCCUACCUGCUGCACCUCUCACAAAGCUGAAGCCAGACUUGGUUGCAUCGGAGAAGAGUUUUGGUUGCGGCAAUGCAAAAGUACCGGACAACAUCUCCUCACAGAUGGCACACAAGAAACUUGAGCAUGGAGGGGCUCAGAAGCACAUUUCUCUGCAUGCUGCCCCUCAAACUAUGCUGAAGCAACCGAACAAAACCAGCUCCACAGUGAAGGCACCAAAGCAACAUACGUUUGAAGACUUUCGGAAAGCAACUGUUCAGCCUGCCGUCCCUCACAGUAAACUGAAGCAAUCAAACCGUGCUGCAUCGGAGAGGCAAAAGACAAGGAGCAAAACCAAGAGUUGUGCUGCGAAAAAAGAGUAUGUUUGCUUUAGUCUGUGGCAGAACUUCUAUGAACCGGAAUGCUCGAGUGGAUCGGACGAGCCGCUUGUAAACAAGAGAAGUGUGCAGAGAAAAAGAGAGAGGGAACGCGCAGUUCAGAUCACAUACUCACGGUCAAGGAAGCGAGGCACCAGUGGGAUCAGCUCCAUCAAGGCCAAAGUGGAUGAGGAAAUCCCAUCUGGACACUUGGAGAUCAUUGUUAUCGAUGACGAGGUGAUGACUGAAGCCCCUGGAGAACAGUGCAAGGCACCAGCUCCAUGCAUGAACGUUCCUGUCGUCCCGCCCACUGAUCAGGUGAAGGCUGAAGCCCCUAGAGGUCAGUCCAAGCCACCAGUUCCAUCCAAGGACGUUCCUGCUGUCCCUCCCGCUGAUCAGGUGAUGAUUGAAGCCCCUAGAGGUAUGUCCAAGACACCAACUCCAUCCAAGGACGUUCCUGCUGUCCCUCCCACAGAUCAGGUGAUGACUGAAGCCCCUAGAGGUUUGUCCAAGACACCAACUCCAUCCAAGGACGUUGCUGCUGUCCCUCCCACAGAUCAGGUGAUGACUGAAGCCCCUGGAGGUUUGUCCAAGACACCAGCUCCAUCCAAGGACGUUCCUGCUGUCCCUCCCACUGAUCAGGUGAUGACUGAAACCCCUAGAGGCCAGUCCCAGCCAGCAGCACAGCGCAUGGACACUGCCGUCCCUCCUGCGGACCACGGAGAUCGGUCCAAUCCAUCUACGAUCAUGGACAUUGCUGCUGUGCCUCCAGCUAUGACCCAAGCCCCUAUGGAUCAGUCACAGCCACCAGCUCCUUGCUCCAUCACCGCUGAUCAGGUGGUUCCACCUCCUUCGGCCGACCUGCCUGGUUUACCUCCUUCAAAUCCAAGCAGUUGGGCUGGCGUGAUAGACAUUUCUGAUGAUGAUGAUGAUGACGACGACGACGACGAAUGA
rnacentral:rRNA from 1 species